CCUGGUGGCUCAGACAGUAAAGCAUCUGCCUGAAAUGCAGGAGACCUGGGUUCGAUCCCUGGGUCAGGA
rnacentral:tRNA from 1 species